AUUGGGCUUGCCCAGAGACUUUUCAAAACCGGUGGAAAGAUUCCGGCUCUUUCGUUCAUCCCACGGAAUCUAUCAAACGAUGAAAUCACGUUGGACAAACCGUUGCAAGAGCUUAGUUAUUAUUCAAUACAGGACGGUGAUCAAGUUCUUGUGAGGUGGUGAUAUCGAAUAAAUUAUAUUUAUAGACACUGUAUUUUUUACGCUGUUAAAGUCCGCUCUAUAAUACUUUGUUAUUAAAUUUUUUUAAAUUGCA